CGCGGCGUGGUUGGAACAGUAGACACGGUGGGCUCAAACCCCUCUGGGCAUCAUGCCCGUGCCGGUGCGACUCCGGCCGCCGCGACCA
rnacentral:tRNA from 1 species